CUUGAGACGGAACAACGUAAAUUUCCGCGAUUAAUCGGUUCCAUCCAAAAAAAAUAAUUAAGAUGAUGACAUACGCGAACAGCAAGCCGUUAAUAAUUGCAGUAAACUCAUUCGUUUUUAUAGCCGGUAUAAUUUUGUUAGUUAUCUACCAUUGCGGCAAUAAAGAUGAUAAACCUCAAAAUAACUAAGAAUUACUGUCUUGUCGGUGCGAUACAAUGUCAAUCACACAUCGAUGCACAACAAUUAGAAAUCUUAUACUGAACUCAUUGCUAAAGCCAAGAAAUAUAACAUGAUCGGACUACAAAUAAACUGAAUUGAUGAAAAAUA